rnacentral:lncRNA from 1 species
UAAGGCCCCCGAAACCAGACGAGCUACCUAAGAACAGCUAAAAGAGCACACCCGUCUAUGUAGCAAAAUAGUGGGAAGAUUUAUAGGUAGAGGCGACAAACCUAUCGAGCCUGGUGAUAGCUGGUUGUCCAAGAUAGAAUCUUAGUUCAACUUUAAAUUUACCUACAGAACCUUCUAAAUCCCCUUGUAAAUUUAACUGUUAGUCCAAAGAGGAACAGCUCUUUGGACACUAGGAAAAAACCUUGUAAAGAGAGUAAAAAAUUUAAUACCCAUAGUAGGCCUAAAAGCAGCCACCAAUUAAGAAAGCGUUCAAGCUCAACACCCAUCGUCUAAAAAAUCCCAAACAUACAACUGAGCUCCUUACACUCAAUUGGACCAAUCUAUUACCUUAUAGAAGAACUAAUGUUAGUAUAAGUAACAUGAAAACAUUCUCCUCCGCAUAAGCCUACAUCAGACCAAAAUAUUAAACUGACAAUUAACAGCCCAAUAUCUACAAUCAACCAACAAGCCAUUAUUACCCUCACUGUUAACCCAACACAGGCAUGCCCACAAGGAAAGGUUAAAAAAAGUAAAAGGAACUCGGCAAAUCUUACCCCGCCUGUUUACCAAAAACAUCACCUCUAGCAUUAUCAGUAUUAGAGGCACCGCCUGCCCGGUGACAUAUGUUUAACGGCCGCGGUACCCUAACCGUGCAAAGGUAGCAUAAUCACUUGUUCCUUAAAUAGGGACUUGUAUGAAUGGCUCCACGAGGCAAAAAAAAAAAAAAAAAAAAAAA